UUUCAACUUGAGAGUUUGAUCCUGGCUCAGAACGAACGCUGGCGGCAGGCCUAACACAUGCAAGUCGAACGCCCUAGCAAUAGGGAGUGGCAGACGGGUGAGUAACACGUGGGAACCUUCCCUAUAGUACGGAAUAGCCCAGGGAAACUUGGAGUAAUACCGUAUACGCCCGAGAGGGGAAAGAUUUAUCGCUAUAGGAUGGGCCCGCGUAGGAUUAGCUAGUUGGUGAGGUAAUGGCUCACCAAGGCGACGAUCCUUAGCUGGUCUGAGAGGACGACCAGCCACACUGGGACUGAGACACGGCCCAGACUCCUACGGGAGGCAGCAGUGGGGAAUAUUGGACAAUGGGCGCAAGCCUGAUCCAGCCAUGCCGCGUGUGUGAUGAAGGCCUUAGGGUUGUAAAGCACUUUUGCCGGGGACGAUAAUGACGGUACCCGGAGAAUAAGUCCCGGCUAACUUCGUGCCAGCAGCCGCGGUAAUACGAAGGGGACUAGCGUUGUUCGGAAUCACUGGGCGUAAAGCGCACGUAGGCGGAUAUGUAAGUGAGGGGUGAAAUCCCGGGGCUUAACCUCGGAACUGCCUUUCAUACUGCGUAUCUCGAGUCCGAUAGAGGUGAGUGGAAUUCCUAGUGUAGAGGUGAAAUUCGUAGAUAUUAGGAAGAACACCGGUGGCGAAGGCGGCUCACUG
rnacentral:rRNA from 1 species